rnacentral:rRNA from 1 species
AAAUGAAUUGACGGGGGCCCGCACAAGCAGCGGAGCAUGUGGUUUAAUUCGAAGCAACGCGAAGAACCUUACCAGAGCUUGACAUCUCCUGCAUAGUCCGUAAUGGGAUGAAGUCCUUCGGGACAGGAAGACAGGUGGUGCAUGGUUGUCGUCAGCUCGUGUCGUGAGAUGUUGGGUUAAGUCCCGCAACGAGCGCAACCCCUAUACUUAGUUGCUACCGGUAAAGCAGAGCACUCUAAGUAGACUGCCGGAGACAAUUCGGAGGAAGGUGGGGAUGACGUCAAAUCAUCAUGCCCCUUAUGUUCUGGGCAACACACGUGCUACAAUGGGUAAAACAACGGGAAGCGAGAUAGUGAUAUCAAGCAAAUCCCUAAAAAGUAUUCUCAGUUCGGAUUGUAGGCUGAAACUCGCCUACAUGAAGUCGGAGUUGCUAGUAAUCGCGAAUCAGAAUGUCGCGGUGAAUACGUUCCCGGGCCUUGUACACACCGCCCGU